UACAGAGGCCCCAAGCGUUACUGAGAAUCACUGGGUUUAAAGGGUGCGUAGGUGGUCCGUUAAGUUCGUUGUGAAAGCCCUUGGCUCAACCAAGGAAUUGCUUCGAAUACUGGCGGACUUGAGGCUAGUAGAGGUCACUGGAACUGACGGUGGAGCGGUGAAAUGCGUAGAUAUCGUCAGGAACGCCGGUGGUGAAGACGGGUGACUGGGCUAGUUCUGACACUGAGGCACGAAAGCGUGGGGAGCGAACGGG
rnacentral:rRNA from 1 species